AUGUGACUUGCACCACUUACUCAAGUGAAGACAGAACAUGGAUGGAUAGAUGGUGUGAUAUGAUUGCUGUUUGUUGUAGGUAUGCAAUGGUGUUGAGUGGGUUGGAGUUAGUGGUUAUUCCAAAUUUAAAGGCUCAAAAUCUUACCCUGGAGCAUCAAGCAGACAACAAGCAGUGCAGUUGAAAAAGCCACAUUUACUGGAUACAACCACCAGGAUACUUACUGUGAUAUGGAAAUGGAUGAGGUGGUUGGAUGCUGCUCUACGCAUACAAACACAACAAAAACGACACUAAGUACAAUUUCGUUACUGCAUUGCCAACCAGCCCUGAUGGAUACUCACAUCAACUGCUCAAGAAUGUGGGAAUAUCUCCAGGGUUAUUAGUUAAUCACACAGUGUUGUCAAAGUUUUCAUGUGACCAAUCUGAUCGUUAAGUGUAGGUGGGCACAAGAGUUGAGAUUUUACUGCACCACAAGCCACCACAGUAGAGUUAUGCAUUUAAAACAAACCAGAGAAAUAUUAUUCGAACUCUGUGUCAAACUGGAGCUCAAAACUGAAAUGUUGACUGGACACACAGCACACCUUCCAGAUGCAACCAACAAUUUGUCUGUUACUUGACAUGUAGCAGGAAUAACAACAUUUUCAUUUUACCAUUAUAGUACCUACUAUUUGGGAAUUGCACCCAAAGGUUGAUCCAUGCAACUACAAUUAUGACACUCUCCACAUGUAGUUGUCAGAGAUUAGACAGUCACCGUAUUUCCAGUAAUAAUAGACUGUGCUCGAAUAAAGUGACCAUGGGAAUGAU